CCCUAAGGUUGUAAGCAUGCGAUUGAACUUGUUGCAUGCAACUCAUUUCGUUUUCUUCCAUAAACUAGCUUCUAUAUGGUUCAAAAAUUCAUUUUUCAUCAUGAAUUGAUGAUUUAUAGGUGAUUCUAACAUUUUGGGAGUGCAAGCGGGUGGUUUAGGAUUCCUUCUUAAACUUGGCUGUCCACACUAAAGGUAAGGAGAGCUAGUUAUGUUUCUUUGAAUUGUUUAUAUACUCUGUAUGUAUGUUGAAUUUUAUUUUGGUGUGCUAUUUUGGAAUUGCAUGUUAUGAUUUAUGAAUAUUGGGGGAUAUGUGAUGAGUUAUCAAAAGUGAGUUCUUUUGAUUUUGUUUUACAUGCUGUUUUGAUUUUGUUGCUACCCAAUGUGUUUGGUGUAAUGCCCCGGCAAAAAUCAAUUCCUUUAAGCUAUCCUUGAACUGUAUAGUCCCAUACCUAUACAAUCUCCAGAUCCCUCUCAUUCCGGUGUAAGUUUGAUUCGUCGAUGUGCCCCUUCCACUCGAAGCCUGCCAGGAGCCGCUCCUUGUCCGUGCCCCAUGCACCAUGCUUCUUGCACCGGCGAUCACUCCCCGCCCUCGUCAGUGCCCGGGUGUCACAUUUGGCAUUGGCUAGAAAAUUAAUAGAUUUCCUAUUUUAUUAUUGAAAGACUAUGCUUUUAUUAACUUCCAAACUUUUACUCUGACAUGUCCAAUGGACUUCAACAUUAAGGUAGGUCACUCUUGCCCCUUAGGAACAAUACCUCGAACACGAUGACCUAAAUGGUAUCCAAAUUGCUAAUAUUUUGUUUCUGCCGUUGACUUUGAGAAACCCCCCCUUUUUUUUUGUCUUUGCAUUGUUACAUACCGAAACUUUCAUCCGUCUAGCUAUGAUAUGUUGCUGUAGAGUUACUGUUGAUAUGUCUAACAGGGGGUGCGAUAUAGUUCGUGUAUUUCAUGGCUAGGGUGUUUGUUAAAGUGAUUGCAAAGUAACUGUCUAUUAACUUAAAAUUGAGUUAUGAAUGUUUGGGUAUUUACAAUUGCAAGAAUGAUAUAGGUUUAAACCCUUUUUUGGUCCCUAAGUUAAGUUCUGAUGUUCAGUUUAGUCUCUACUUUUAAAAAUGUCAACCUUUAGUUCCCAUGAUAUGAAAAAUGUAUC
rnacentral:lncRNA from 1 species